UCCUACGGGAGGCAGCAGUAGGGAAUAUUGCUCAGUGGGGGAAACCCUGAAGCAGCAACGCCGCGUGGAGGAUGAAGGUUUUCGGAUUGUAAACUCCUUUUGUUAGAGAAGAUAAUGACGGUAUCUAACGAAUAAGCACCGGCUAACUCCGUGCCAGCAGCCGCGGUAAUACGGAGGGUGCAAGCGUUACUCGGAAUCACUGGGCGUAAAGAGCGCGUAGGCGGGAUAGCAAGUCAGAUGUGAAAUCCUAUGGCUUAACCAUAGAACUGCAUUUGAAACUGUUAUUCUAGAGUAUGGGAGAGGUA
rnacentral:rRNA from 1 species